rnacentral:sRNA from 1 species
GUUCGGUGGAAACGAGAAUAAAACGUGAAGGAUAACGUUGCGUCAGCAACGGCCCGUAGGGCGAGGCGAAGCCGAUUCAUCCUGCACGACCCACCA